GCCCCAGUUCAGCUCCUGUGCAGACAGCAUUCAGUAGAUGUUUGCUGGAUUACUCUCUGGAGGACCAGAAGCUUCUGGAACUGAAGGGACAGGAGGAGGGCACUGCACUGCAGUCAGCACUGAGUCCCUAGCGGAGUCUCUCACUGACGGGCUUGCUCAAACACAUCCCCAACCAUCCCCGUCAGGCUUUCUACCUGGCCACCUGGUCAGAGGAGCCAUGUAGGGUGUGGUCCAAGGUCAGCAGAAUGUGUUACAUUAUUUGUUUCAGUUAAUGGUAUCGUGAAGCCACUGGCCUACGAAAUCUGGGCUGUCAAGAGGAAUGGCUGCAGAGCCAAGACAGUGGAUCUCGUCUUUAAUGUACGGAAUGUCUCCCCGCUUCUGACCUCCACUUCCCUGCCCCCGCCCACGAUGCCGGGGAUCGGGAAGAACUCCAGAAUCUGUAUUUGUAGAAGAAACUAAGAUUAUGAUCCUGUAGUUGGUCCACACCUUUCACAAAACUCUCCAAGGUCAUACGAUAACAAAACGUGAUUCAUCUACUACAGCAGAAGAUUGUCUCCCAGAACAGUUGGCGCCUCAUAGCUUGUGGUAGCUCCACACAUAGUUAGAAAUAUCUCUGCUGCUGAAGCCUCCGGAGCCCUUAAUAAGCCAAUGCAUACUGGGACUUUCCAGGAACCUCUGUGGAGCAGAACUGAGCAGAGGUGCCUACACACUAGUUUGGGAAACUGGGGAAGCAGCGAUGUGCAGAUCUUAUUGUCACUUUGAUCUCAGCUUUCAAGACAUACAACUUCUUCUCUAAGAGAAACACAAAUGGCUGAUCAAAGUGUAUUUGCAGAGGCCAAGUUCAGUUUCUGAAAAGCCCAAGAAUGAAGAGUUGCGUGUCCAGCGGCACUCGCACGUGACACACUCAGCGCGAGGCCCAAGCCUCUGUGCGAGCUCCCGCAGUGCUGUUUGCUCUGCCAACCUGCGUUUCAGAAUGAAGCCAAAGCUCCAGUCCUCCAGUCCUGCUCUGAUGGCCUCACCGAGCCGCGACUCUGGAAGGAGGCAUGGUGAACGUCUGUCACUCUUGGCAACGCAACCUCAAACCCCCUUUCUGUCUGGGGGUGCUCCUCUUGUACUGUUCUGGUGGUGACAUGCUGAAACCCUAGUUUCUUCUCCUGAAGUCCCAGGGGAGACACCUUCCUGUUCCCCAUCUCCCAGCGACCGGAAUGCAGGCAGGAUCUCAGCAGUCAGAGUGGACGCUCCUAACUGGAGCUUUGUCUCUGGAGCCAGGAGCCGAAGCCAAGGGAACAGUGAAGAUUAAUUUCUGGCAGCAGGCCAGAGUGGCAGCACUGUCCCAACAUCCUGGCCAGGCUGUUCCAGAGGUCCACAGUCUGCGUUCCCUUGGUCUCUGCUCCGUUUUAAGCCCAUUCCUUCUGCCUCCUGUUGAUCCUGUGAGCACCAGAUUUCCUUCCAAUAAAUCUCACCAGAGGUGAUGUCAACACCAGAUUUCCUUCCAAUAAAUCCCACUGGAGUUAGGGCCUGCUGCUUGCAACCAGAACCCUGAGCAACACAGGGCGGCCCUCUGUGAAGAAAAGGGCUUGUUUUUAUAAGGUCAACGGGUUCUCACUUUCCUCGGCUCUCUCAGGACCUGCAAAAACCCAGGCUAAGAGGGCCUGAGGGCCCAGCCCUCGCCCUUGCUGCCUAGUUCCUGGCCUUUCACGAGGGGGCUCGGGCCCCCUCCAUGUGUCACUUCAUGGAAGACAAAGUCUGGUCAGGUGGAGGAAGACUGGGGAGCAAAAUGGGCUGUUUCACUCCAUCUUUCUCAAGUCCAAAGGACAUCCUGAUGAAGGGAAAGACGCAAAGCAAUAGCACGUGACUUUGACUAGAGCAGGCAAAGGACUCUAAGAUGCAAAAUGACUUUAUGUGCCACUUAGAAAAACAAUGACUGCUAAUUUAACUAAAACACAUCAUCAGUUUGAAUGUGAAAAAUCGUAAAUGCUGGAAUGGAUAAAAUAAUUUGUGGCUUAGAAAGGAAGAGAAAGUCGUUUCCAAAAGAUAAAAAGGAUGGCAAGGACACAGAAUCAGAUCUAAAUCGAGUCUGUGACUGUGCUGCUGUCGGUGAGCAGACCUGAAGAGAGGCAAAGGCACUUUUUUGUGUUUUGGUUUUUUUAGGUGUAUUGCUUUCAACUUAAGGACAGAUGCCCUAGCUACUUUUAUAUAAUUCUAUGUAUAAAUAUUUCUGAUGAUGACUAUUUUAAAAACAUAUUUUAAAUGUUUCAAUAGAAAAACAAAGGAAAAUAGGAACAAAGAAAAACAGAAAAAUUAAGAUUGAUUCUCAACUAAAAAAUAAUUCCCUCUAAUGACGGUAUUCUUUGCAGUUCCGCCCUUGCUCUCAUCUUUUCUCAUAUCCAAUGCUGCUCUGGAUACUACAUCUAGCCACAUCUUCCAUCAUCACCCACAAAUUGGUAUGUCCAGCCAACAUAUCCCUUCCAGUCUCCAGAGUCUAUACUGUGCGUUCCAACAUGAGCAACGCACAGGUACCUCACACCUGACAUGUUCCAAGCAGACCUCCUACCUUCUGUGCAGACCUGCUUCUUUGAUUAGAUUCUUUACCCUGCUAAAUGGUACCACCAUUUCACAUGGGUUCCCAGCUGGACACCAGAAUACAAACCACCUUCAAUUUCUCUUUGGCAUCAGGGCCUGUAAGAAGGAGACCCUAAGUCCUUUCAAUUUUGCACUACCAGUCUUAUUUUAUAUUUCUGGUAGUUUCAUUGUGUUAUUUA